CAAUUUUGGCUUAUUUUCAAAUCUUCAUUAUAGGCACUAAUACUUACUUCAAUUUAGGUUGUCUAAAGCCUAGAUUAGAUGCAUUAUUUUUGCCGUUUUAAACUUAAUUUAGUCUAAUAUGUUUGACAAAAAGAUGACGUCUACAUUGACAUAAUUAAUUAAUGUCGACGUUAUUCAAAAGUUACAGGAGAAUGUGCUGAUACAAUCGCCAAUAGUGAGGCACGGCAUUAGACGUCUACUUUUUGUCAAGGGAAACUAAAUAAAAUCGGAUUUUGUUUUUCGGGGCAGAAAUACGAAUGGGCAGUAAUACAAUACUCGACGUGAUUUUGAACGCCCCCCGCAAGUUUGUUUUAAACACAUAAAGCGCAAGCUUUAAAGGCGCAAACAAACCAACCUGCCUGCAUAAGUGGUAAGUUAAAAUUUAUAAUUGGUGAUAACGCGUUACAAACCUAAUCAUUAUUAUAUAUAUUUUUUUGUUUAUUGAAUAGAAUUUGAUAUUUUUAUCAACAAUAACACAUGACAAUCCAAUGUCAUCUGAUGAGAGUAAAGAGGAGGAGAAUCGUUUUGAAGUUUUAAUGAAAAAAGGCACGAAGAAAAAAAGAAAUAAAACUGGAAGGGAAUUACAUUGGCCAAGAAAUAUGGUUAACAACUUAGUGAUUAUUCUUGAAAAUAAAAAGAUGACAAAAAGCUGCUAUUAACCAAUGUUUAAAACGUUAAAAAGAGACCGAAUAUUAUAAGUCAGUAAUUGAAAAGCUGAAAGGAAGGUGUGAGUCCAGAGGAAUCGAAUUUUCCAUCGACACUAAUCAAACAAGCCUAACGUUUAAAUUCUACAUAACAACCUGCAUGGAAGCUGCUUCUGGAAUAAAAGUAUUUCAAGAAUACAAACAAUAUGGCACAUGGCAAAGUAUUUGCAGUCAAAACAUCUAUAGACAGUUGCAAGCUGAUGAGUCAAGUGGUAGCGAAACCAAAAGAAGAAAGAAAAAAGAGCAGCAACAAGGUCAUGACCGAUUUAUAACUCUUUUGGUACGCAUGGUUACAAUACCUGGCCAGCAGCCCAUUGUUCAACAAACGGUACACAAGGCAUAUGUACUAUGGAAAUUCAUUAAUCCCCCCUCCCCUUCAUCCACAACAGCAGCAUAGUUAUGUCAAAUAUGGUACAGAUAAAGAAGGACCAGUGUAUGAAGAUUUAGAAAGUUUUUAUUUGUUGUAAAAUAUUAUUUUAGACAUUGGAAAAAGGUUAUAAUGAUUCCUCCUUUUUAACAAGUUCUUCCAUUAGUCAUUGUGAAAAUUAUUUCAUUAGCGACGUCCUCUUAUUAGCGCCGCUCUCUAAUUAAUGGAGUACCCCGUGAGUCAAUUUUUAAGUAGUGUAAAUACGGUAUAUAUUUUUCAAAAAGAGUCCUGUCAAUGAGUUAUAUUGUAUAUAACUCGUUUCCAGGUCAUUUUUACUCCGUGUUUUCUAUGAAUCACCAAAUUAAGUUAAUCACCACUAAAUUUAAUUUCAAUUAGUGUAUAAUAUAUCCAAGUUUAGGAAAGUUGAAAAAUGCUGAAAGUCGGCAAUCACGUGGCAUUUGAGCGUGUCUCCCUCACAAAUUCCUUUUCUUGUGUGAUAAAGAUUCGUGGAAAGUUUCAUGCCCCCACUAUAGACUCGGGAAUGUAAAAUAAAAUUCAUGAAAUAAAUUUCACAGAUCGUACAUUAUGUAAUACUUUCUUUGAGAACAAAAAAGACAGAAAAUAGAAUAUCUAUUUACACAAACUUCUUUAAAUUUAUUGUACGCCUUAUCUAUUUUUUUGUUUUUUAAUUUCGUUGAAAAAACUAGAACAAUUCAAACGUUUGAAACGAAAUAGCCAAAAAACAUUUUUUAAUAAAUAAUAAUAAUAAUAAUUUUAAUAAAACAUAUUUAUACAACAAAAGUAAUGCUUUAAGAAAACAAUGAAAAGUAAUUAUUCGUGACUUUUGUGCGACAAACUCUUUUAAUUUUUGUUAUGAAAACAGCAUUAAACAGACAAUGAAAAUGUUCGUUUAGCAAAUGUGAUAUAUUAUUGCGCUAUUUUUAAGAAGAAGCCACUCUUCUACUUUUCUUAUUACAGACAUACGGAAACAGAAGAUUGAUAUCAGAAGCUACAUAUUAGUACCGUGGAAAGAAAAGAGACAAUAGUUGGAAAUACACGCAUGCUUAAGGGAGUAAUAAAAGUUAAUUAUAGUGAACUGAAGAAGUUAUUCUGACUAUUUUAUAAAUAAAGAAGGAGCAUUAAAAAGAAAGUACAAAAAUAUAAAAUAAUAUUGUGGCUAUUUUCAAAGAAAAACCUGCAUAUCUACUCUGCCUGUUACAUACGGACACAAGCAGUUAGCAUGUUAUUAUAAAAGACUAUUUGUCUAAUCCGUGAAGAAAUUCACUUACAGACACUAAGUAUUGAAAAUAUAUUUUUAAAUUUCAGCAAAAGUCUUGAAUAAAAUAAACAACAACAAAGAAUCCGUUAAAUUGAAACAGAUACUCUUUUCAUCGUUAAACUAUUUUUGUUCACUUUUGAAGAAAAAAAAUUAGUAAGUUUUUAGAAAAACAAAAAGCACUGGAAUUGAUUUUUGUAAAGUAUUGUAUUUUCUUUUUCAGAGAAAGUUUCAACGAUUUUAGUUUAAUUUUUUGUGACAUAUUACUGUGGCUUUUUUUUAAAGUAAACAAACACAUUCACUUUGCCUUUUACGUACGAAAACACACAGUUAGCGUAUUAUUUUAAGAGACUUGUUGUUGAUAAACUGUAUAAACAUACAUGUUUGGCAUAUUAAAAAUCUAUUUUCUAAACUCCAUAAAAGCCAUAGAAAUAAAAUAGACAAUAAACGAAAAAGGUCGCAAGAUUGACAUUUAGUGUUUUUCUGAUCGUUAAAUUAUUUUUUGACUAAAAGCGCGAAAAAUUAAGACAAUAUAAACGACAUGCCCAACCAUCCAUUAAUUACCGGUAACUUUGUCAGUGAAUUCAUUGUGAACAAAGCAAAUGCAUUGAUGCAACAAUAAAAGAUGACCCGUGACUUUUGUAUCAGUACUAAAGACAAAAAAGGUGACAUUUUAAAUGCCGUUGUUUCAAGAAAAAAACAGCACAUCUGCGUUACUAGUGGCAUUUUAAACAAAUUUAAAGCUUUUAAUGACGUCACAGAAAAUAUGCUGACGCAAGAAAAAAUUAAUUGCUGUGAUUUUGUUCCUUUUUGGACGUACUAUAAGUGUGCUAAGUUUGAUUCAAGUGUGCUAAGUUCGAUUCAAUUUGGGGGGCGGAUACCCGGAGUCAAAAUAUGUUUGAAAAACCCCGGAUCGAAUAGGGUUAAACCUACUUAGACCUAAAACAACUUAAAUUAGUGCAGCUUGCUCGUAACAAGAGAAGAGAAUAGUUACGAAGGAUCGAUCCCGGUACCAUUUUCUUCUUGAUCUUUAAAGGCAUAUUAAUGAGGCCAUUUAACUACACUUUGUGAUCCUUCUUUUAAGAAAUUCUUCUCCAUUUUUUAAAGCUGGAAAGGAUAGUCUGAUAUAUUAGGCUGUUUAGUCACGUGAUCAAAAGCCGUAGAAUUUUUUUUGCCGUAGCGAACUCGCAUACCGUAGACAGAUUUUCCCGAGAUUUUAUACGUAUGUGCCCAUCCAAAGCUAUUUUCCGACUAUGUUUUUCCUUAUUAGGCAUUUUUCGAUAGACACCUCUUUGCACAGAAUAGGCCGAGGUUUGUUUUGAUUGAUGAUAGAAGUUUGUAGCUGUUAACGUUGAAGAGUUACAGGAUUUUGAAUUUUAAGAAUUUGACUUCAAGAUAUCUUGGCCAAACAUCUGAAUGCAGUGGUUGUACAGUUAAACGUGUUUAUAUACUUUGUAUAAAAAAUGGUAUUUCUGGCAUGACUAUAAAAUGCUUAUAUUAUGUCAAUGACUUUAUAUUAAAGUUUUUAUUUAGCUUAAUUUUAUGAUUUUGAUAUUUGUUUCUUUCUGGAUUUUUGCCCAUCUCUCUACAGUAUUUAACAGCCUGGUCUGCAAAACAUCAAUAAUUUUUUAUAGUUUAAUUUACUGUUUUUAUCACAAUUCUGUUAAUUAACCUAUACAAACUUCGCAAAUGGCUUAUAUACCUGGUUUCCUUUUUAGUUCUUACCCCCGUCUUUUUUAAAUUUAACAGUCUGGUCUGUAAAUUACACAUAUUUAUCACAUGAUAUUUUUUGUAGUUUUAAUUACUGUUUUACCAUGGUUCUGUUCUUUUUAAUUUAAUGCAACUUCGCCAACAAUGGCUUAUUUAAAACUGGUUUCUUUUUAGUUUUACCCCCGUCUUUCUCUAUUUAACUGUCUGGUCUGUAAAAUACACACCUUAUCACGUGAUAUUUUUUGUAGUUUUAAUUACUGUUUUAUCACAGCAAUUUAAUGCAACUUCGCCAAUGACUUAUUUAUAACUGGUUUCUUUUUUGUUUUACCCCCGUCUUUCUCUAUUUAACUGUCUGGUCUGUAAAAUACACAUAUUAUCACAUGAUAUUUUUUGUAAUUUGAACUAUAUACUGUUUUAUCACAGUUUUUUUUUUUUUAUUAAUUUGAUGCAACUUCGCCAAUGGCUUAUUUAUUACUGGUUUCUUUUUAGUUUUACCCCCGUCUUUCUCUGUUAACAGUCUGGCCUGUAAAAUACACAUCAUAUCACGUGAUAAUUUUAUAGGUUUUCUUCUUUUAAGUUCUAGUGACGUUUAUAGUUACUUAUUUCUAGUUACGUGAUAGGAUUACUUUUCAUUUUUAUGUUAGUUUUUACAGUUAUUUUACCAAUGUUAUGUAUAUUUUACCAUAUAUGGAAAAAGUAAAAAUGGCGGCAUAAUGACGUCAGAUAUGAAAAAAAAAUUGCAAAUGUCUUUCUUAGCAUAAAUUUUACCAACCCUAAAAUUUUCAUUCUAUAAUGUUUAGUUAUACCAAAGUUAUUGUACACGUAGCAAAGGUCUCAAAAUGAGUUUAAAAACAGUCGUUUUGGUGCCAAAAAUGUUCUACUUGGAAUGCACUUAUUUUUUCUAAUUUUUGCUACCAAUUACGCAUACUAAAAUAG